GUUCCUUUAGGUGAUGUGAAGAAAUUUCUUAAUCUAACUUGAUGGAAUUAUAGGGAGCCUACCACUGACUGACUGAAGGCUCAGCUACACCUCUACUGGCUUUUAAAUUUCAAAUCAGACUGGAACAUAUUAGUCAAGGCAGGAGGAGCUUUGUCACUUAAGAAAUCUCUGACAGCCCCUGCUGACAAUGAUGUCUCAUAUUGGAGAUGCCACACCCUCAUGAGCCUGAGGAUAAAAAUUCAAGAUGGGAGAAGAGCAUGAAAAGCAGCUCUGUAAGAGCUAUGGUCGUUAGAGGUAAUCUGGUGAUAGAAGGCUUCUGUGGAGUAAUUCCUGAUUAAUGGAGAGAAAACUAAAUUCAAUGGUCAAGAGUUUCAGUGACAGCUAUUGCCCUUCCAUGGAUCUGGAGAGAGAUGAAACUUCUCAUAAGGGAUUGCCAAUCUCAUAAGAGCCACCAUUGAUGGUUCAAGAAGGAAAAGCAGAAGGGCUCCAUGCCUCCAUGGCCAACCUCUACAUCUGGAAUUCCUUCCUUCCUGACUUCUGCUUCAUAGAACCCCUCUCUUCCUUCAAGAAAAAGGUAAAUUACCAUCUUCUACAUAAAUCUUUCCAGAUCGCCCUAGUUGCAAAUGCUCUCCCUCAAAAAGUACCUCAUAUUCAGCUACUCAGGAUUUAUUCUUUUUGUAUUUAUUCUAUAUAUAAUUUCAUAUGUAUUUGUUGUCUCUCUGGUUAGAAUGU
rnacentral:lncRNA from 1 species